AACGCAACUUGCGCCACUUGUGGCAUGUCUGUUUGAGUACCAAUUCUUUCUGCAGCAAUGCGACCUGGCCCAACCUCGUUUGGGCUGAAAAGAAUAUUUCGUACAGGACACCUGCGAAGCUAGAGACGCAAGUCUUGUUCGCAGCGUCCUUGGAUUCCGGUCUCAAAUCAGGCAAGAUUACCCGCUGAACUUAA
rnacentral:misc_RNA from 1 species